rnacentral:rRNA from 1 species
CCCUUAGAUGUUCUGGGCCGCACGCGCGCUACACUGACGAAUGCAACGAGCUUAUAACCUUGGCCGAAAGGUCUGGGUAAUCUCCAAAUUUCGUCGUGAUGGGGAUAGAUUAUUGCAAUUAUUAAUCUUCAACGAGGAAUGCCUAGUAAGCGCAAGUCAUCAGCUUGCGUUGAUUACGUCCCUGCCCUUUGUACACACCGCCCGUCGCUCCUACCGAUUGAAUGGUCCGGUGAAGCGUUCGGACCGUGGCCUUUGGACGGUUCGCCGUCUGUUGGCUGCGGGAAGUUCGCUAAACCUUAUCAUUUAGAGGAAGGAGAAGUCGUAACA